rnacentral:rRNA from 1 species
CGAAGAACCUUACCAACCCUUGACAUCGCCUGACCGGCCUGGAGACAGGUCUUUCCCGCAAGGGACAGGUGGACAGGUGCUGCAUGGCUGUCGUCAGCUCGUGUCGUGAGAUGUUCGGUUAAGUCCGGCAACGAGCGCAACCUACACCCUUGGUUGCCAGCACGUAAUGGUGGGCACUUUAGGGGAACUGCCCGUGAUAAGCGGGAGGAAGGUGUGGAUGACGUCAAGUCCUCAUGGCCCUUACGGGUUGGGCUACACACGUGCUACAAUGGUGGUGACAGAGGGUUCAUCCCUAAAAGCCAUCUCAGUUCGGAUUGUCGUCUGCAACUCGACGGCAUGAAGUCGGAAUCGCUAGUAAUCGCGCAUCAGCUCGGCGCGGUGAAUACGUUCCCGGGUCUUGUACACACCGA